UUAAAUAGGUGUAAAUUGUGUGAACACACACUCACUGAUUGAAAAGUGCUCCUAAUUGUAAAAUUGGCCAUUGUAAAUUAGUGAUACCAGCCACAUUUAAAUCAGUAUAACUGUGUCCAGACAUAAAGCAGCACUGUGUAAUGGGGCCCCUCUGCCCUGUUAUUGAAGAGAGGAGAGCCAGAAAGCAAUGAGGCACAUUUAAGAAGACUCUGGUAUGCCUACUUGAGGCCAAGCCCCAGAACCCCGUAGGAAUUGCUGUCAGGCUCCAUAGCCCUGUGAAGAGCUGCAGGCUGGCUCCAUGGUGUUAUAGGAGCCUCUGGAAAUAUAGAGACUGUGGAAGAAACUGCUGCUGGUACCCCAGCACUUGGAGUACAGCCAGACCACAGAGCCAGGAAGCUGGAGGACUCCAGGUGGUAAACAACAGGGUAAUCAUGAGAGAAUGACCACAGCUGACCUGAAGACUCGGCCAACGAGACCCACGAGAGAGCAGCCUACUGGGGGAGGGACAGGUCAGGGGACUAGAGUAGUAGAGGCCAAGGGCUUUACUAGGCUUACAGAAGGACCUUUGCAGAGCCCAGGGAAAAGGAAGUCAUGCUAGAGGCUUUAUGCUGAAGGUGUCAUCUUGUCUAAAAAUGAAGUUUUUAUUGGGAGUCUUUUGGAUACAAUUGGUUGGGAUAUAUGUUUACCUGAUGAUGUUGACUGGGCAACACUGAUGUUACAGAAGAAUCAGGAGGACUUGUGGAUCAAGAAUGUUUGUGCCCUGGGACUAUGGCGAACUCCAAAGCACACCUAACCUACACCAGCUGGGCUGCACAGGGAGGAGGCUCUGGUAGCAGGCUGGGCUAGGAAAGAAGAAUCUGAAUGUGCAGAUGAAUGUGGGUUAGCACAUGGGCCUAAGGGUGAUGUUAAAUCAUCAUAAAGACACUAAAAACAGAAGCCAUCACCCAUUAAAGAAUGCUAACCUUUCCUAAGUACCCUCUAAACAUUUCAGAGUUACGCCAAUCCGUGUGAGGUUCAUCUUUGAUCCAUUUUGCCCAGGUUGUUCCAGAAUGUUGUUAGUGAGCUCACCAGCUAUCUGAAAAACCCACCUGCAGUCCUCCAGAAUCCCAGGUUGCACAGUUCCCAGAUACUCUACCCCUUUCCACCCCCACAAACCUCUAGCUGUCUCCCUCCUGCCCAUUGUGCCUCCAAGCUGAGAGCAGCUGCUCUUAGCCACCUAAAGUGUAGCAAGAACCUGGAGCUUGGGGUUUCCAAUGUCUUGUUGCCUAGUGGCUCUGUGUUGAGCAUGAAGCCAUGCAGCUUAACUGCAGGGGGAUCCUGGAGCCGGGGGAAGUAUUCUGGGGGUCUUGCCAUCUGGAGACUCUAUGGUCUCACCAUCAGGGGUUAUUCCUAGUGAUGGAAAAGCAUGCCUCCCUAGAUCCACACCACCCUUAGCCUUCCAUGUGCCCCUUUUCCAGCAACUGGGAUUAAGAGGGGCUUGGGUGAUAUCUCUCCCCCCACUACCCAUCUGGCCAGGAGAGAAUAAGGGAAAGAAGGUGGGAAUUUCAAUUAAUCUCGGAUAAAGUGAGUUUAAUUGAAGUUUUCCUAUGCCUUGUGCCCAGUUUAAAGGCACAGACAGCCCUGAGCAAUGCUUGGGGAGGCUGGGAUGGAGCAGGGGGCUAAGGCCAAGUUUGGCAGGGCUCUUUGCAGGCAGCUGGAGUGGAGCUAGUUGCCUUACUUCUGCUCCCCAGCUCACUCCCUUCUAGCUUGGGUUGGGACCAUGGAGGACUUUUCUUGGGGCAGGGUAGAAGGAGGGAAAGCUGGGGCCCACCAACUCCCCCCCCCCCCACCUGCAACAGUACUGUGAGAGCUCAGCAGGGUUCAUUGCAAGCAGUUGGUGCUUGCCGGACCCCUCCAAUCCUCCCCUCCCACCAGCCAUGAGGGGAAUCCCCCCCCCCCACACACACACACCUCAGCAGUCCCACUCCCUGACAGCAUGACCAAUCCCAAUUCCCCCACUCCCCAGCCUUCCCCAGUAAGGGCAGCAAGGGGGAGCUCAGCACAGACUUUGGAGACCCCAACCUCGUUGGAGCAGGCUGGCAUGGGCCCGGCUGAAUGGGCUUGGCAAGGGGGCUUCCUAGUGUGCUGCCCCCUUCCACCACCCACAGUUCAUUAAUUCAUGAGGGAACCUUUAUUUUUUCCAGUUCUUUUAUGUUAA